UUAACUCAAAUUUGUAAGGAGUUGGAACGUUUGUCUACGUUUGCCGCUAGGGGCGCUGUUCCAACUGCAUAGAAAUUUGAGUUA
rnacentral:pre_miRNA from 1 species